AAGGCUAACCAUACUUCAAACUUUCCUAAUCAUGACUUUUACCGCCACAGAACUAAUCUCCUUCUACAUCCUAUUUGAAGCCACAUUAGUUCCAACACUAAUUAUCAUCACCCGCUGAGGCAACCAAACAGAACGCCUGAACGCAGGCCUCUACUUCCUAUUCUACACACUAAUAGGUUCCCUCCCACUCUUAGUUGCACUAAUCUCUAUCCAAAACCUAACAGGCUCACUAAACUUCCUAUUAAUUCAAUACUGAAACCAAGCACUACCCCACUCUUGAUCCAAUAUUUUCCUAUGACUAGCAUGUAUAAUAGCAUUCAUAGUCAAAAUACCCCUAUAUGGUCUUCACCUCUGACUCCCAAAAGCCCAUGUAGAAGCCCCAAUUGCCGGAUCCAUAGUGCUAGCAGCCAUUCUACUAAAACUAGGAGGCUAUGGAAUACUACGAAUUACAACAAUACUAAACCCCCAAACUAGCUUUAUAGCCUACCCCUUCCUCAUACUAUCCCUGUGAGGAAUAAUCAUAACUAGUUCCAUCUGCUUGCGACAAACCGAUCUAAAAUCACUUAUUGCAUACUCCUCUGUCAGCCACAUAGCCCUAGUAAUCGUAGCCGUCCUCAUCCAAACACCAUGAAGUUAUAUAGGAGCUACAGCCCUAAUAAUCGCUCACGGCCUUACAUCAUCAAUACUAUUCUGCCUGGCAAACUCAAAUUACGAACGUACCCAUAGCCGAACUAUAAUCCUAGCCCGUGGGCUUCAAACACUUCUUCCCCUUAUAGCAGCCUGAUGACUAUUAGCCAGCCUAACCAACCUGGCCCUCCCUCCCAGCAUUAACCUAAUUGGAGAGCUAUUCGUAGUAAUAUCAUCAUUCUCAUGAUCAAAUAUUACCAUUAUCCUAAUAGGAGCCAAUACUAAUCACAACACAACGAGGGAAAUACACACACCAUAUCAACAGCAUUAAACCUUCAUUUACAUGAGAAAACGCACUCAUGGCCCUCCACAUGACUCCCCUACUACUCCUGUCACUUAACCCUAAAAUUAUCCUAGGCUUUACGUACUGUAAAUAUAGUUUAACAAAAACACUAGAUUGUGGAUCUAGAAACAGAAACUCAAUAUUUCUUAUUUACCGAGAAAGUAUGCAAGAACUGCUAAUUCAUGCCCCCAUGUCCAACAAACAUGGCUCUCUCAAACUUUUAAAGGAUAGGAGCUAUCCGUUGGUCUUAGGAACCAAAAAAUUGGUGCAACUCCAAAUAAAAGUAACUGUGCUGUCCCACUCUUAG
rnacentral:lncRNA from 1 species